GAAGACUCCUGUUGCCAAGUGAACUGUAGUCUAGUGGUAGCCUCAGUGUCAAGGAAAAACACCCGCUACUUAGCAGACCGGGAAAGGGAGUCUCCCUUUCCCCAGGGGAGUUUAGAGAAGACUCUACUCCUCCACCUCUUGUGGAAGCAGGCCUGCCUGCAGUUAUCCGGAGGCCUAACCGUCUCCCUGUGAUGCUGUGGCUGUGC
rnacentral:lncRNA from 1 species